CGGCUAUCGGGCACAGCCCCUGGGCUGGAUGCACGUGCACAGGGGUCUGACUUAUUCUGGGAUUGGGCAGUGGAGGUGUUUGGUCGCGGGGAUGUAUCUCCUCCUUCGCUGUCCCAAUGGCGCGGGGUCGAGGUGAUCUCGCAUUUGUGAAAGCGGUGGCAGUCCCUGUUUUCCACCGGCUCCCUAACCCGGUAACCAGCUGCUUCGCUGCACCCGCCACAUCGGUGUUUCCGCCAAAAGAGCCAAUAAUGAAGUGGCUGCGAUAGGAUCAGCUCCGACAGGAGAUACCAAAGAAACUGAAUUCAGAACUUGGCAAAUAACCUAACUGGAUAAUAAAACUGUAGUCCCAAUCCUGCAAACCUUCUACAUGUGGAACUCUCACUGAUGUCUAUGGAAGUUCUGCCUGUGGAGAGCUUACAGAAUCAGGCCAUAAUGUGGUAUCCUUUCCUUUGAUUUGAUUCAGAUUAAAAGUUGAUGUAAAUGACAGUUAAGAGCGGGGAUGUAGUCUCAAUUCACAGUAGCACGAGGGAAAAUUUACAUGUUUUCAAGAUGUUUUACUCUCUGUACAACAGCUGCCACCAUAAAUUCACACAAUUAAACUUUAAUGAUA